rnacentral:misc_RNA from 1 species
AAGUCGUAACAAGGUAUCCGUAGGUGAACCUGCGGAUGGAUCAUUACCAAUUUAUAUAUAUGUUAGUUUGCCUGUGGCUUCGGUCACUGGUAUUAACUACUAUGUAAACGUUGAACUAGAUCAAUUGGUGUGGAUUGCUUGGGAAUGGACGAAGCGACAAGCCUCUUCCGGACAGGCAAGCCCCACACUGAUAACCUUUUUCAUAUCAUUUACUCGUAUAUACUACCACAACAACAAAAAACAAAAGCUAUAAUAGGACUUAUUAACGGCUGAGUGGGUAACAUCCUCGGCUUAAACAUAUAACUAUUACAACUUUCAGCAAUGGAUCUCUAGGCUCUC